AAAAAAAAAGAAGAAGAAGAAGAAGAAGAUUCUGGAAAGGAAAUUGCCAUUUCUAAAGAAAAUUUAAUUGAUCCAGGUCAAGGAUAAAAUUGAGGAGUUUAUCAAAGUAAUUUUCACUCUAUUUGUAGGUGGGGUAACAUUGAAUUUCCGAUGCCAUUUGGAAGAGUAAUGAGUCCGACGGAAAGAUUUGUCCAUGGGUUGGAUGAAAAGGCAGUUCUGGACGUCACAUUUUACAUGAUAACCCCAAUAAUGGUCCAAAUGGCAGGGAAGGAGAUCAGAGAGUAUGAUUCGAAUAUGACCAUAUUUGUCCCAACUCGGGUGUCCUUCACAUCAGAAACAUGUGCUCCACUAAUUGCAACUCUUCCAUUUGAGGUGGGGUAACAUUGAAUUUCUGAUGCCAUUUGGAAGAGUAAUGAGUCCGACGAAAAGAUUUGUCUAUGGGUUGGAUGAAAAGGUAGUUUUGGACGUCACAUUUUACAUGAUAACCCCAAUAAUGGUAGUGUACUUAAUAGUUACAACAUGAAACUAGUAGUUUGCAAGUCAUAAUCUAGAGACAGCUUGGAUUUAAAUACCUCCCCCUCCCAUGUUCUAGUUCUUGGAAGUUGUAACUGUACUUACCUUAUCUAUCUGAUUUUCUCCUUUUAAGGAUUGCUUGCUU